UUCCUUUCAGAUUCUUUAAAGCGAUGGAUGAUUUUACGUCAACUUGUGGGGAAGAUGAUAUCGUGGGAAUCCACUGCACGCAUGGUAUAAAUCGUUCCGGUUACCUUAUCUGUAGGUACCUCACUGAUCAGUUAGGUUGGGAAGUCGAAAAUUGUUUGAAAGGUAGGUGAAUCAUAAAUAAUAAAAAUGUUU